rnacentral:ribozyme from 1 species
CACACAGAAAAAAUCGAAGAAAGAAGAAAGAAAACGAGAAUUGAAAAUGGAUGGUAGGCAAGACGUUUGGGGUGUUCUUCUUUCGCCCUUUUCU